rnacentral:rRNA from 1 species
UUUAUCCUGGCUCAGAACGAACGCUGGCGGCGCGUUUUAAGCAUGCAAGUCGAACGGUAACCAUCCUUCGGGAUGGCUAGAGUGGCGAACGGGUGAGUAACACGUAGGUGAUCUGCCCUUGAGUUGGGGAUAGCCCAUGGAAACAUGGGGUAAUACCGAAUACGCUCGCGACCCUGUGGGGAUGUGAGGAAAAGCGCUUCGGCGCUGCUCGAGGAUGAGCCUGCGGCUGAUUAGUUAGUUGGUGGGGUAACGGCCUACCAAGGCGACGAUCAGUAGCCGGCCUGAGAGGGUGAGCGGCCACACUGGGACUGAGAUACGGCCCAGACUCCUACGGGAGGCAGCAGCUAAGAAUCUUCUACAAUGGACGAAAGUCUGAUAGAGCGACGCCGCGUGGGUGAUGAAGGCCGGAAGGUUGUAAAGCCCUUUUCUAUUCGAGGAAUAAGGUGUGGAGGCAAUGCCACACUGAUGACGGUAGGGUAGGAAUAAGCCCCGGCCAAUUACGUGCCAGCAGCCGCGGUAACACGCAUGGGGCGAGCGUUGUUCGGAAUCAUUGGGCGUAAAGGGCGCGUAGGCGGAUAUGCAAGCUUGGUGUGAAAGACCGCAGCUCAACUGCGGGAGCGCGCUGAGAACUGCAUAUCUUGAGUUCAAGAGGGGAAGCUGGAAUUCCAGGUGUAGGGGUGAAAUCUGUACAUAUCUGGAAGAACAUCAGUGGCGAAGGCGAGCUUCUGGCUUUG